GAUGAACGCUAGCGGCAGGCCUAAUACAUGCAAGUCGAGGGGUAGAAGAGGCUUGCUUCUUUGAGACCGGCGCACGGGUGCGUAACGCGUAUGCAACCUACCUUCAUCUGGGGGAUAGCCCGGAGAAAUCCGGAUUAAUACCGCAUAAAUUCACAGGAUGGCAUUAUCCAAUGAUCAAACAUCUAUGGGAUGGCGAUGGGCAUGCGUGUCAUUAGCUAGUUGGCGGGGUAACGGCCCACCAAGGCGACGAUGACUAGGGGAUCUGAGAGGAUGGCCCCCCACACUGGUACUGAGACACGGACCAGACUCCUACGGGAGGCAGCAGUAAGGAAUAUUGGUCAAUGGAGGCAACUCUGAACCAGCCAUGCCGCGUGCAGGAAGACUGCCCUAUGGGUUGUAAACUGCUUUUAUUCGGGAAUAAACCUUAUUACGUGUAAUAAGCUGAAUGUACCGAAGGAAUAAGGAUCGGCUAACUCCGUGCCAGCAGCCGCCGUAACAC
rnacentral:rRNA from 1 species